rnacentral:rRNA from 1 species
GAUGAACGCUGGCGGCGUGCCUAAUACAUGCAAGUCGAGCGAACGGACGAGAAGCUUGCUUCUCUGAUGUUAGCGGCGGACGGGCGAGUAACACGUGGAUAACCUACCUAUAAGACUGGGAUAACUUCGGGAAACCGGAGCUAAUACCGGAUAAUAUUUUGAACCGCAUGGUUCAAAAGUGAAAGACGGUCUUGCUGUCACUUAUAGAUGGAUCCGCGCUGCAUUAGCUAGUUGGUAAGGUAACGGCUUACCAAGGCAACGAUGCAUAGCCGACCUGAGAGGGUGAUCGGCCACACUGGAACUGAGACACGGUCCAGACUCCUACGGGAGGCAUCUGUAGGGAAUCUUCCGCGAUGGGCGAAAGCCUGACGGAGCAUCGCCGCGUGAGUGAUGAAGGUCUUCGGAUCGUAAAACUCUGUUAUUAGGGAAGAACAUAUGUGUAAGUAACUGUGCACAUCUUGACGGUACCUAAUCACAAAGCCUCGGCUAACUACGUGCUAGCAGCCGCGGUAAUACGGAGGAGGGCAGCGUUACUCGGAAUUAUUGGGCGUCAAGCGCGCGUAGCGGUUUUUUCAAGUCUGAUGUGAAAGCCCACGGCUCAACCGUGGAGGGUCAUUGGAAACUGGAAAACUUGAGUGCAGAAGAGGAAAGUGGAAUUCCAUGUGUAGCGGUGAAAUGCGCAGAGAUAUGGAGGAACACCAGUGGCGAAGGCGACUUUCUGGUCUGUAACUGACGCUGAUGUGCGAAAGCGUGGGGAUCAAACAGGAUUAGAUACCCUGGUAGUCCACGCCGUAAACGAUGAGUGCUAAGUGUUAGGGGGUUUCCGCCCCUUAGUGCUGCAGCUAACGCAUUAAGCACUCCGCCUGGGGAGUACGACCGCAAGGUUGAAACUCAAAGGAAUUGAUGGGGACCCGCACAAGCGGUGGAGCAUGUGGUUUAAUUCGAAGCAACGCGAAGAACCUUACCAAAUCUUGACAUCCUUUGACAACUCUAGAGAUAGAGCCUUCCCCUUCGGGGGACAAAGUGACAGGUGGUGCAUGGUUGUCGUCAGCUCGUGUCGUGAGAUGUUGGGUUAAGUCCCGCAACGAGCGCAACCCUUAAGCUUAGUUGCCAUCAUUAAGUUGGGCACUCUAAGUUGACUGCCGGUGACAAACCGGAGGAAGGUGGGGAUGACGUCAAAUCAUCAUGCCCCUUAUGAUUUGGGCUACACACGUGCUACAAUGGACAAUACAAAGGGCAGCGAAACCGCGAGGUCAAGCAAAUCCCAUAAAGUUGUUCUCAGUUCGGAUUGUAGUCUGCAACUCGACUACAUGAAGCUGGAAUCCCUAGUAAUCGUAGAUCAGCAUGCUACGGUGAAUACGUUCCCGGGUCU